CCCUGCUGCUUCAAGGCAUGUUUGUCUUCCCUCAGCUCGGGCGAGUGGCAGAUGUUGUGGCAGAACCAUCACGGAUGAGAGAAACCCACGGCCAACGUCAUCCUCCAAGAGCAAAUAUUGCAGGCAGAUGCCUGACGUGUCAUUUAAAUAGAAGAAGGCUCUAAAGGGUUGCAGGUAAACAGAGUGUCAAUCAUCAGGAUUAGUUCAGACGGAAACGCUCGGCUCCUCUUUGUUACACGCUUUGGGGGAAACUCUGCGGCGAUGUCAUCCACUGUGUCUGUGCCAGAUUGCAAAAGCUGCAAUAUCACGAUUGCGGCUCAAUACGUGCGUCACAUGUCUGCUUAUGAGAAGAAUUCAAUUAAAAAUUAAAAAUCUGUCACCCUUGUGUGAUUCCAAA